rnacentral:rRNA from 1 species
GUUUCUCUCAGACUAGCCAUGCACGUCUAGUACAAACUAAAUGAUGGUGAAACUGCAAAUGGCUCAUUACAACGGUUAUGAUGUACCCGGGAGUUCCGAUGGAUAUUUCCAGUAACACUAGAACUAAUACAUGUCCCUGCGUUUAUUAGUUUCGCACAGUCCGUCGCUGAGUCAUGGUAAACAGUUGAUCGACUCGACGUCCCGGAACAGUUUCCGCCCCAUCAGCUUCGAUGGUUGGGUAUUGGCCUACCAUUGCAACAACGGGUAACGAGGAAUUAGGGUUUGAUUUCGGAGAGGGAGCCUGAGAAACGGCUACCACAUCUACGGAUGGCAGCAGGCGCGCAAAUUACCCAAUGCAGACACUGUGAGGUAGUGACGAGAAAUAAUAAAGCGGGACUUCUGUUUCGCUAUUAUAAUGAGGAAUAACCAAAGGUCAUUCCGAUUAGCAACUGAUGGGAAAGUCUGGUGCCAGCAGCCGCGGUAAUACCAGCGUCAGUAGC